rnacentral:rRNA from 1 species
CCUACGGGAGUCAGCAGUGAGGAAUAUUGGUCAAUGGGCUUACGCCUGAACCAGCCAAGUCGCGUGAGUGAAGACUGCCCUAUGGGUUGUAAACCUCUUUUGUCCGGGAGCAAUUGGCGCUACGUGUAGCGUUAUCGAGCGUACCUGAAGAAAAAGCAUCGGCUCACUCCGUGCAAGCAGCCGCUGUAAUACGGAGGAUGCGAGCGUGAUCCGGAUUUAUUGGGUUUAAAGGGUGCGUCGGCGGAAUGCCAAGUCAGCGGUAAAAUCGCGGGGCUCAACCUCGCUCCGCAGUUGAAACUGGCGUUCUUGAGUGGGCGAGAAGUAUGCGGAAUGCGUGGUGUAGCGGUGAAAUGCAUAGAU